rnacentral:pre_miRNA from 1 species
CCAUUGGAUAACGGGAUUACAUGGUCUUGCUUCUGCUAAACCCUGUUCUCCCGUUACCCAGUCCA